UACGUAGGGGGCAAGCGUUGUCCGGAUUUAUUGGGCGUAAAGCGCUCGCAGGUGGUCCGAUGCGUCGUGCGUGAAAUACCCCGGCUUAACUGGGGGGCGUCGUGCGAUACGGUCGGACUGGAGGCCAGUAGGGGGAUGCGGAAUUCCGGGUGUAGUGGUGGAAUGCGUAGAGAUCCGGAGGAACACCAGCGGCGAAGGCGGCAUCCUGGACUGGUCCUGACACUCAGGAGCGAAAGCGUGGGGAGCGAUCCGG
rnacentral:rRNA from 1 species